rnacentral:rRNA from 1 species
CCUACGGGCGGCAGCAGUGAGGAAUAUUGGUCCAUGGACGAGAGUCUGAACCAGCCAAGUAGCGUGAAGGAUGACUGCCCUAUGGGUUGUAAACUUCUUUUAUAUGGGAAUAAAAUGUUCCACGUGUGGGCUUUUGUAUGUACCAUAUGAAUAAGGAUCGGCUAACUCCGUGCCAGCAGCCGCGGUAAUACGGAGGAUCCGAGCGUUAUACGGAUUUAUUGGGUUUAAAGGGAGCGUAGGUGGAUUGUUAAGUCAGUUGUGAAAGUUUGCGGCUCAACCGUAAAAUGGCAGUUGAAACUGGCAGUCUUGAGUACAGUAGAGGUGGGCGGAAUUCGUGGUGUAGCGGUGAAAUGCUUAGAUAUCACGAAGAACUCCGAUUGCGAAGGCAGCUCACUGGACUGCAACUGACACUGAGGCUCGAAAGUGUGGGUAUCAAACAGGAUUAGAUACCCUGGUAGUC